CGAGGAGAGAAUCCUAAGGUGCUAGAGUGAAUCAUGGUUAAGGAACUAGGCAAAAUAGUCUCGUAACUUCGGAAGAAGAGACGCCAUCAGCAAUGGUGGCCGCAGUGAAGAGGCCCAGGCGACUGUUUAUCAAAAACACAGGACUCUGCUAAAUCGAAAGAUGCUGUAUAGGGUCUGACACCUGCCCGGUGCUGGAAGGUUAAGGAAGGGCGUUAGCAGCAAUGCGAAGCGUUUGACUGAAGCCCCAGUAAACGGCGGCCGUAACUAUAACGGUCCUAAGGUAGCGAAAUUCCUUGUCGGGUAAGU
rnacentral:ncRNA from 1 species